rnacentral:rRNA from 1 species
UACGGGGGGGGGCAAGCGUUGUUCGGAAUUACUGGGCGUAAAGGGCUCGUAGGCGGCCAACUAAGUCAGACGUGAAAUCCCCAGGCUCAACCUGGGAACUGCGUCUGAUACUGGAUGGCUUGAAUUCGGGAGAGGGAUGCAGAAUUCCAGGUGUAGCGGUGAAAUGCGUAGAUAUCUGGAGGAAUACCGGUGGCGAAGGCGGCAUCCUGGACCAUUACUGACGCUGAGGCGCGAAAGCUAGGGGAGCAAACGGG